GCCGGGGUGGCCGAGCGGCCCAAGGCGCGGGACUCGAGGGCGCGUCCGAGCUAUCCCGUCCCCGUCAAGGGGGCGUGGGUUCAAAUCCCACCCCCGGCGCCA
rnacentral:tRNA from 1 species